rnacentral:rRNA from 1 species
AUACGGAGGAUGCAAGCGUUGUUCGGAAUUACUGGGCGUAAAGCGAGUGUAGGCGGCUUCGUUAGUCGGAUGUGAAAUCCCAGGGCCCAACCCUGGAACUGCAUCCGAUACUGCGAAGCUAGAGUCCUGGAGAGGAUGGCGGAAUUCCGGGUGUAGAGGUGAAAUUCGUAGAUAUCCGGAGGAACACCAGUGGCGAAGGCGGCCAUCUGGACAGUGACUGACGCUGAGAUUCGAAAGUGUGGGGAGCAAACAGGAUUAGAAACCCGAGUAGUCC